rnacentral:piRNA from 1 species
GAUUCUGGAAACAGCUCUGCCGCGA